rnacentral:rRNA from 1 species
CGGUGGAUGAUGUGAUUAAUUCGAUGCAACGCGAAAAACCUUACCUACCCUUGACAGUGUCUGGAACCUUGGUGAGAGCCGAGGUGCCUUCGGGAGCCAGAACACAGGUGCUGCAUGGCUGUCGUCAGCUCGUGUCGUGAGAUGUUGGGUUAAGUCCCGCAACGAGCGCAACCCUUGUCAUUAAUUGCCAUCAUUCAGUUGGGCACUUUAAUGAGACUGCCGGUGACAAACCGGAGGAAGGUGGGGAUGACGUCAAGUCCUCAUGGCCCUUAUGGGUAGGGCUUCACACGUAAUACAAUGGUCGGUACAGAGGGUUGCCAACCCGCGAGGGGGAGCCAAUCCCGGAAAACCGAUCGUAGUCCGGAUUGCAGUCUGCAACUCGACUGCAUGAAGUCGGAAUCGCUAGUAAUCGCGGAUCAGCAUGUCGCGGUGAAUACGUUCCCGGGCCUU